rnacentral:rRNA from 1 species
GAUGAACGCUGGCGGCGUGCCUAAUACAUGCAAGUCGAGCGAACAGACGAGGAGCUUGCUCCUCUGACGUUAGCGGCGGACGGGUGAGUAACACGUGGAUAACCUACCUAUAAGACUGGGAUAACUUCGGGAAACCGGAGCUAAUACCGGAUAAUAUAUUGAACCGCAUGGUUCAAUAGUGAAAGACGGUUUUGCUGUCGCUUAUAGAUGGAUCCGCGCCGCAUUAGCUAGUUGGUAAGGUAACGGCUUACCAAGGCAACGAUGCGUAGCCGACCUGAGAGGGUGAUCGGCCACACUGGAACUGAGACACGGUCCAGACUCCUACGGGAGGCAGCAGUAGGGAAUCUUCCGCAAUGGGCGAAAGCCUGACGGAGCAACGCCGCGUGAGUGAUGAAGGUCUUCGGAUCGUAAAACUCUGUUAUUAGGGAAGAACAAAUGUGUAAGUAACUAUGCACGUCUUGACGGUACCUAAUCAGAAAGCCACGGCUAACUACGU